CCUACGGGAGGCAGCAGUGGGGAAUAUUGCGCAAUGGGGGAAACCCUGACGCAGCAACGCCGCGUGAGUGAGGAAGGACUUCGGUCUGUAAAGCUCUGUUAAUGAGGAAAAAUGGUAGUUGGUCUAAUAGGCCGAUUAUUUGAUGGUACUCAUAGAGGAAGCACCGGCUAACUUCGUGCCAGCAGCCGCGGUAAUACGAAGGGUGCAAGCGUUGUUCGGAUUUAUUGGGCGUAAAGCGCGCGUAGGCGGACCCGCAAGUCAGAUGUGAAAUCUCGAGGCUCAACCUCGAAACUGCGUCUGAAACUACGGGUCUAGAAUCUCGGAGGGGGAAGGGGAAUUUCGCAUGUAGGGGUAAAAUCCGUAGAUAUGCGAAGGAACACCAGAGGCGAAGGCGCCUUCCUGGACGAGUAUUGACGCUGAGGCGCGAAAGCGUGGGGAUCAAACAGGAUUAGAUACCCCGGUAGUCCACGCUGUAAACGAUGAACACUAGGUAUUGGAGGAUUUGACCCCUUCAGUGCCGUAGCUAACGCGUUAAGUGUUCCGCCUGGGAAGUACGGUCGCAAGACUAAAACUCAAAGGAAUUGACGG
rnacentral:rRNA from 1 species